rnacentral:rRNA from 1 species
UACGUAGGUGGCAAGCGUUGUUCGGAAUUAUUGGGCGUAAAGGGCUCGUAGGCGGCCAACUAAGUCCGACGUGAAAUCCCCAGGCUUAACCUGGGAACUGCGUCGGAUACUGGAUGGCUUGAAUUCGGGAGAGGGAUGCAGAAUUCCAGGUGUAGCGGUGAAAUGCGUAGAUAUCUGGAGGAAUACCGGUGGCGAAGGCGGCAUCCUGGACCGACAUUGACGCUGAUGAGCGAAAGCUAGGGGAGCAAACGGG